rnacentral:rRNA from 1 species
AGUGAACGCUGGCGGAAUGCUUUACACAUGCAAGUCGAACGGCAGCACGGGGGCAACCCUGGUGGCGAGUGGCGAACGGGUGAGUAAUACAUCGGAACGUGCCCAGUCGUGGGGGAUAACGUAGCGAAAGUUACGCUAAUACCGCAUACGAUCUACGGAUGAAAGCGGGGGACCGUAAGGCCUCGCGCGAUUGGAGCGGCCGAUGUCAGAUGAGGUAGUUGGUGAGGUAAAGGCGCACCAAGCCGACGAUCUGUAGCUGGUCUGAGAGGACGACCAGCCACACUGGGACUGAGACACGGCCCAGACUCCUACGGGAGGCAGCAGUGGGGAAUUUUGGACAAUGGGCGCAAGCCUGAUCCAGCCAUUCCGCGUGCAGGACGAAGGCCUUCGGGUUGUAAACUGCUUUUGUACGAAACGAAAAGGCUCUGGUUAAUACCUGGGGCUCAUGACGGUACCGUAAGAAUAAGCACCGGCUAACUACGUGCCAGCAGCCGCCGUAA